rnacentral:rRNA from 1 species
ACUGUGGGUAGCGGAGAAAUUCCAAUCGAACCCGGAGAUAGCUGGUUCUCUCCGAAAUAGCUUUAGGGCUAGCCUUGAAAUAGAUUACCGGAGGUAAAGCACUGAAUUGGCUAGGGGCCGAGAGGUUACUGAACCUUAUCAAACUAAGAAUGCCGGAUAAUCGUUUUUCAGGAGUCAGACAGUGGGAGAUAAGUUUCAUUGUCAAAAGGGAAACAGCCCAGACCCACAGCUAAGGUCCCCAAGUAUAGUUAAGUGGAAAAGGAUGUGGAAUUGCACAGACAACCAGGAUGUUGGCUUAGAAGCAGCCACUCAUUAAAAGAGUGCGUAAUAGCUCACUGGUCGAGUGACUCUGCGCCGAAAAUUUAACGGGGCUAAACUAUACACCGAAGCUUGGGAUACAUCUAAUGUAUGGUAGGAGAGCGUUCUGUAUGGGGAGAAGUCGUAGCGAAAGCGGCGGUGGACUAUACAGAAGUGAGAAUGCCGGAAUAAGUAGCGAGAAUUAAGUGAGAAUCUUAAUGGCCGAAAGUCUAAGGUUUUUGGAGGAAGGUUCGUCCGCUCCAAGUAAGUCGGGAGCUAAGGUCAGGCCGAAAGGCGUAGCCGAUGCACAUACGGUUGAUAUUCCGUAACCAUCUGUAAUUUAAGCAAAGGGACACUUCAAAAGGGUGUGACCCGGGCGUUGGUUGACCCGGGCGUAAGGGACCGAAAUUAGAGUAGGGAAGCACACUUAGCUGAAGGCGAGAAAAGCUUUGCGUAUAGAAGCAGAUGCCCGUACCGCAAACCGACACAGGUGGACAGGAAGAGAAUUCUAAGGCCAGCGGGAGAAGGGUAGUUAAGGAACUCGGCAAAUUGACUCCGUAACUUCGGAAUAAGGAGUGCUCGAAAGAGCCGCAGAGAAUAGGCCCAGGCGACUGUUUAGCAAAAACACAGGUCUCUGCCAAAUCGAAAGAUGAAGUAUAGGGGCUGACACCUGCCCGGUGCCGGAAGGUUAAGAGGAGGAGUGAGAGCUCCGAAUUGAAGCCCCGGUAAACGGCGGCCGUAACUAUAACGGUCCUAAGGUAGCGAAAUUCCUUGUCGGGUAAGUUCCGACCCGCACGAAUGGUGUAACGAUCUGGGCACUGUCUCAACUACCCACCCGGCGAAAUUGUAGUACCGGUGAAGAUGCCGGUUACCUGCGGCAAGACGGAAAGACCCCAUGGAGCUUUACUGUAGCCUGAUAUUGGGUUUCGGAAAUCUAUGUACAGGAUAGGCGGGAGACUGGGAAACAUGAGCGUCAGCUUGUGUGGAGUCGAUGUUGGGAUACCGCCCUUAGGUUUCUGGAAUUCUAACCUGCGGCCGUGAAUCCGGUCGGGGGACAUUGUCAGGUGGGCAGUUUGACUGGGGCGGUCGCCUCCGAAAAGGUAACGGAGGCGCUCAAAGGUUAGCUCAGCACGGACGGAAACCGUGCCUCUGAGUGUAAACGCAAAAGCUAGCCUAACUGCGAGGGUGACGGCCCGAGCAGUAACGAAAGUUGGAGUUAGUGAUCCGGCGGUAUGUGAAUGGAAAUGCCGUCGCUCAACGGAUAAAAGCUACCCUGGGGAUAACAGGCUGAUCUCCCCCAAGAGUCCACAUCGACGGGGAGGUUUGGCACCUCGAUGUCGGCUCAUCACAUCCUGGGGCUGUAUUCGGUCCCAAGGGUUCGGCUGUUCGCCGAUUAAAGUGGUACGCGAGCUGGGUUCAGAACGUCGCGAGACAGUUCGGUCCCUAUCUGUCGUGGGCGCAGGAUAUUUGAGGAGCUCUGUCCUUAGUACGAGAGGACCGGGAUGGACGUACCUCUGGUGCACCAGUUGUCAUGCCAAUGGCACGGCUGGGCAGCUAUGUACGGAACGGAUAAACGCUGAAAGCAUCUAAGCGUGAAGCCGACUCCAAGAUUAGAUAUCCCAUCGUAUAACGAGUAAGACCCCUUGAAGACUACGAGGUUGAUAGGCUGCGUGUGUAAGUGCCGUGAGGCAUUCAGCUUGGCAGUACUAAUAGGUCGAGGGCUUGACCA